AGAAGUAUAUGUUUGUUGAUGGGUUCCCUUCUGGAUCCUUUGUUUUCUCCUGUGGUUACUGAUUUUAGGAAAUGCAUCAUAAUUUGUUUACCAUAAAUGACACCAGAAACAGAAUCAAUACAGAGUCACGGUGAAAAACUAUAUACCUUGGGUACCACAGUCUGAAGAACAAGUAAUUUUUCUGGCAUUAUUGAGUAUUCCAGACAGUUCAAAUAACCACAUCAUUGAAAUGUGACUGUCUUUUAAAAAAAUGUAAAUGUGUAAUGGCUUAUAUUUGUUCUGCUGCUAUGACAGAUUACCACACAUUUAGUGACUUAAGACAAUCGACAUUCAUUUUUCUCAUAGCUCUGUAGGUCAGAAGUUGAGAUGCGUUCAGCUAGUUUCUCUGUUUUGGGUCUCACAAGGCCAAAAUCAGUGUCAGCUGGGCGGGGCUCUUACCUAAAGGCUCUGGGAGAGUCUGCUUCCAAGCUCCUUAGGUUGUUGGCAGUAUUCAUUUUCUUGGAGUUGCAGGGCUGAGGUCCUGCUGUCCACCAGGAGCCUUUGUCAGCAAAUUAAUGCCACUUGUGUUCUUCAUCAUGCUGUCCCUGCAUCUUCAAACCAGCAAGUCUUUCUCGUGGUUUGAAUCUCUCUGAAUUCUAAUGCCGUUCCUCUCUUAUAACAGCCAGGGAAUGUUCUCUCCUUUUUAGGGCUUAUGUGGUUAUAUGGUGCCCACAGAGCAAUCCAGGAUAAUCUCCCUAUUUAAGGUUCAUAAACUUAAUUAUAUUUGCACAUCCCUUUUGUCAUAUAACCUAAUAUAUUCACAGAUUCAAGGGAUCAUGGUGAGGACAGUUGGGGGAAGGCAUUCAGUUUACCACAUGACUUGUUAAACAUCCUUCAAAAUUGACAGAAGUGUCCAUAUAUUCCUGAUAUUUUAAAUAAUGUUCCAUAAAAGACAUAUAUAUUUAAUGACAAAAUGUAUUUUAAUGAAAGUGAAUAAAUGGUGUAGUGAAUGAGCCUAGACCAUUCUCCAGCAUCAUUCUUUUUGUCAAGUUUUGUUAUUUCUUCUUGAUCUUUAAAUGCCAAAACAAAAGUAAAAAGCAUUGAACACGAAACAUAUAGGAACCUUUCUUAGUUCCUAUCAUGAGAGACAUAAGAACUGAAUGCAAGUCAAAAACAACAUCCCCAUAUAUUUAGAUUCUCAUAGCACAUUUGACUCAAAAAAUAUAUGGUUCUCAAGAAUUAGAGGAGUAUGUAAGCUAUUUAAUUCAAAUUUGGAGAUUUAUGUGUCAUUUUCCUGGAAAUGUCAAAUUUUUCUAAAAUUUUCUACAUGAUGAGUUAGAGUUAUUAAGGUAAUUUAUUUCUGAUUGAUUACAAGGUAAGAUGUUAAUGUAUGCUACUGCAGAGUGUGAAAUUAUUUCCUUAAACUUUAAAUUACAAAUGUUGCUGUGCAUUUGUAAUUCUGUAUCAGUGCUUUUUCUUUGUUCUCAUCCUUCAUGUCUGUUUUUCAGUUAUGACUCUUCAUUGCUGGCUAUUGUUAGAAUGCAUGCUUCUAGCAAAAAGCCAGCUACCUCUACUUUUCUAAGUUGUUUCAUCUGCUGUAAUUAUAAACUCAAUCCUGAAAAAGAAAAGGAAGUAUGAGGUCGAUGUUUUAAAUGUAAGUCAGUAAAAUUCAUAAACUAAGGACUCUUCUAAAAGUCAAGGUCUUUGUGCCAGACAUUUCAGUUCUGAGUUCAUUGGUGUGUUAAAAGCUGAGGCUUCUGGAGUAUUUAUAAUAUGGAGAAUUCUUUCAGUAUAAUUUUCACUAAAACUUCAGCAGAGAAAGCUUAUGAUAACUCAUUUUCAUUUCAUAUUUCUGUUAUUUCAAAAACUGAAUACCAACAUUACUACAUGAUGAAAAAUAUUGUCUAUUUCCCAUAAUUUUUAGCAUUAUUCAAAAAUACCGAUAGGUUCUAUGCGCCAAAUAUUCUGUUUUCUGUUAAUAUUUUGGCAGCAGUACCAAGUUUGACACUAGAACAUUUUAACUUGGAAUCAUAAUUGUGUUUAUGUAUUCAUGGGCUUAAAAUUAUGCAGAAUACUUUAGAUAAACCAUAUCUUAGCACAAUUUCAUUAAAUUUUGUUCUAAAAGCAUAAUUCACAUGAUUUUCUCUAAAUUACUAGCAGGAACCACUUUCCUUGUCUACUCUUUGUUAUAUAUAUAAACUUCUUCAUGAACCUGUACUCAAUUACUUUUUAAAUCUUUGCUGAAUGUAAAUUAUAUAAAAUGCAUGAAAACAUGUGUCUUUUUUUCCAAAAAGCUGCAGGCAGUGUCUGAAACAGACUGAAUUCACUGA
rnacentral:lncRNA from 10 species